GACGAACGCUGGUGGCGUGCUUAACACAUGCAAGUCGAACGGAAAGGCCCUGCUUUUGUGGGGUGCUCGAGUGGCGAACGGGUGAGUAACACGUGAGUAACCUGCCCUUGACUUUGGGAUAACUUCAGGAAACUGGGGCUAAUACCGGAUAGGAGCUCCUGCUGCAUGGUGGGGGUUGGAAAGUUUCGGCGGUUGGGGAUGGACUCGCGGCUUAUCAGCUUGUUGGUGGGGUAGUGGCUUACCAAGGCUUUGACGGGUAGCCGGCCUGAAAGGGUGACCGGCCACAUUGGGACUGAGAUACGGCCCAGACUCCUACGGGAGGCAGCAGUGGGGAAUAUUGCACAAUGGGCGGAAGCCUGAUGCAGCAACGCCGCGUGCGGGAUGACGGCCUUCGGGUUGUAAACCGCUUUCGCCUGUGACGAAGCGUGAGUGACGGUAAUGGGUAAAGAAGCACCGGCUAACUACGUG
rnacentral:rRNA from 1 species